AUUGAACGCUGGCGGCAGGCCUAACACAUGCAAGUCGCACGAGUGGCGGACGGGUGAGUAAUGUCUGGGAAACUGCCCGAUGGAGGGGGAUAACUACUGGAAACGGUAGCUAAUACCGCAUACCAUCGGAUGUGCCCAGAUGGGAUUAGCUUGUAGGUGAGGUAACGGCUGACCUAGGCGACGAUCCCGAGCUGGUCUGAGAGGAUGACCAGCCACGAUGGAACUGAGACACGGUCCAGACUCCUACGGGAGGAAGCAGUGGGGAAUAUUGGACAAUGGGCGCAAGCCUGAUGCAGACAUACCGCGUGUAUGAAGAAGGCCUUCGGGUUGUAAAGUACUUUCAGCGGGGAGGCGUUACCGGCAGAAGAAGCACCGGCUAACUCCGUGCCAGCAGCCGCGGUAAUAC
rnacentral:rRNA from 1 species